rnacentral:lncRNA from 1 species
CCUUACUUGACACUAAAAGGUUGUAUUCUAUACCAAUUUGUUUGAUAAAAAUAAAAAUAAAAACCAACUUCUGUCUGCAGCUGUACCCCUUCUAGCCAAGACCAAAUCGCAUGACGACAGGAUAACGAAUUUGACAUCACUUCCGUCUGUACUUCGUCGGGCCACAACCCUCUGACGUCGACUUCAAAACACUUCCGUAAAUAUUCCACUCCGUUUUUAGUGUACUAGCUAGCAUACGAAGUGUUUGGAAAUAUUUCUUUUUUGCUACAUUUAUCUAAAUAGAAUGAAGGCCAAGGGAUUUGCAGUAGCCCAUCACCAGUAAAGGUAAAGCGUUAGUUAGCCUAGCAGGUAAACGGACAACUAACCUAGUUAGCUGGGACACACUCUUUUUUUUCUCAACCACUUCGAUAGAGCUACGACCGGAAAUGAUAUUAAUAGCAGGUUAGGAGGGCAGUUUUGCUAACCAUAAUUAUUUUCAUAACCUUAUUAACAAAAUUGUCCUAACCUGCUACACUGAUUCUCAUAACCCGUUGCGUAAUAAUUUGUCCUAAUCUGCUACGAGAAAGGUAACUUCCGGUCGUAGCUGUAUCGAAGUGGCGUGAAGAGUGUUUCUCAUAGUUAGAUAGCUACAUCUCCAAAUACGAUGUAGGCAUUUGCAGGCACUUGGCUAGCUCAUUUAUAUAGGGGAAAUUACAUUAUCUGUCUAGCUCAUUUAGAAAUGAAUGUCAUCGGGGGGUUUUGAUUAGUUUGUCUUUUGUAGAGACAUUGGUGCAAAAUGGAUGUUGACGUUAAACUAGAGGAAGAUGAGAGGGAGAUAUCCCAAACAAUAAUUUGGUCUGAUUCGAUUAAUGCCUGGAUAGAUUACCCAAAUUCAACAUUGUCAGGAAACACAGAAACAGGUUACCAUGUGGGUUUACUGAAAGAUAAUUCACAUGUACAUCCCAUCAGUCCCCAAACAACAAGCCAAGGGCAGAUUUUACGUAUUUUUCCUGAAAUGACCGGAGCAAGUGAUGUGGAGAACAGGGCUGUCAAAGUGGUUUAUUUCUGUAAAGAUCAAGAUACCAUCGGCACAUCUGAAGUUAAUUCAAUCAAAGAGCGAUCGUGGCAUUUAGCACCAUCCAGUGAUAUUCUGACAGGACAUGCAUCCGCCUUCAGUGGUUAUUUUGAAGCUGAAAUCAACCCAACUUCGCAGGUUUCUUGCCAAACACAGACCCAGAUCAAUAAUGAAUUGCCCUCUGACAAUGUUAAUAUCCCAAGCCAUAGUACUGCCAUUCAUUCUGUGCUAACCUCACCUGCUACAGAAAGCGGCUGUAAUUUAGCUGUAUCUACUAGGCCUAUUCUUCCAGAAUAUUGUGAGCCAUUGAACUUUCCCUCUGAUGAAGAGGAAAACUACAAUGUCAAUUUAAGACAAAGACUACAAUGCCAGAAAACGUUAGAGGAUAAAUAUAUACGUCAGUGUCGUGGCAGUUACUCAAGACCAAACCUAAGAAAGUUUGGGAAAUACUGGAAAGAUCCAUACGCCAAGUGCAAGGAGAUGGGUGUAGAUUUCAAUGUUGGAUCAGGAGCGAAACAGAAACUUGAUUUGCAUUUACUGACAUUUGGUGUAAUGCUUGAGGUGUCAGAAUAUGCUAGAAACAUUAAUAGAUCUCGCCCUCAUGUUAUCUUUGAUAUUCUAGAUUACAACUUUGGUCUUGGUGUACAAAAUGAACAACAAUAUGACUUUUCAAACAAGAUAGAAAAGAAAUUAAAAGAAAUGCUGAAGAUGCAUUCCAAGAGAACACCUGCGUGGUUAACAGAAGUGUUUGAACUUCCUGAUCCAAAGACGGUUAAAGUUUUGGAAUACUCCCUUAAAUGGGCACAGUUCUAUUUACAAAACAGCUGGUCAAAUCCUACACCGUUUGACAUUUGCAUAAAGGAGGAGCCUGUUGUUGGCCUGAUCUCUCCUCUGCAUGUGACGACAGAGAGCUUCUCUACCGAGACAGAUGUAACACGAUGUGCUGAUGAGACUGCAAUCCUUGGCCCUGAAAAUGGACGUAAUGAUAUCUGCACAAGGUAUGAACCUGAUAUGGGCAUCGUCUAUCCUCAACAUGUCCAGGCGGACACCUUCACAUCUCAGACAGAUAUAACAAUGGGCCAAUCCUUAAUAAUGCCCACUGUAGAAGAAGCAUUGAGGGACCUCUACCCCAUCUGUAAGGAAAAAGGACUUGACAUUGUUGUGAAAUCAAAAUAUGGGAAAGCUGAGAAACUUGACUUGCAUCUAUUGACCAGAGAUGUAAUGUUUGAAUUGGCUGAUUUUGCCUCACAAGUGUGUGGAAAUUGGAAGCAGAUUGUGUGUGAGGUUCUCGAGCAUAAUUUUGAUUUGGAUUUAAAAAGUGGUAAAACUGAGCUGGCUGAAGAUAUUAUGGGAAGGUUAAGAGCAGUUUUGCAGCGCAAGACGGGUAAAAACGGUACAUGGAGAUGGGAACUUGAAAAUGAAGCUUUCUUCUUAAAGAAGUCACGCAAACGAAAGAAUCCUGCAGAGAUGUCCAGUAACCAGAAGGUCACUACAGCAUCACUUGAGCCAAAAUACCAAAUGAAAGAAGUAUCAAAAAGAAGGAGAUUGAAUUUAAUGAGGAAGAAGAAAGACAUGGACAUGUUUGUAACCAAGGAGACUGAGGGAGGCCAUUUUUUUGAAGUCAUACAAAUAGAACCUCAUUGUGUCAAAACAGAGAGAAUCUCUGAUGACACUGACCUUGCACUUUGUACUGAUGAAACAAAGCAAAUUGGUAACAACAAUGUAGACCAAUCAAAUGUGACGUCUCACACCAAAAAAAUGGUGAAAGCCGAAGCGUGCUACCCACUCUGUGAGGAAAUAGGCGUGGACCUUGAUGUUGCAUCCAAACCUUCUAAAAAUAAACUGGAAUUUCACUUACUGACAAACGGUGUAAUAUUUGAGGUGUAUAAAUAUGCUAAGAUAAAAUCCUAUCAUAAAAAAGAAAAAAGAUUUGGCUAUAUUCUCUUUGAUAUUCUAAAAUAUAAUUUUGAUCUUAGUUUGCAAAAUCAGAGACGUAAUCUAUUUCAACUGCGUAUUAACUGUAAAGUGAAAAGAAUGGUUCAGAAACACAAACCUGAGCUCUUGGGAAAAGGAGAAAUCUCUAAAGAAGUGUUCAUACUACCGAGUGUGAUUAAAAGCCAAGCAAAAAAAAAAACUGUGCUUUCAGAUUAUUUUCCUGAAAAAAAUAUAGAACAAGAUGCAAGGCUGGUUUAUCCUCAUCAUAGUAAAGACACUAUCGCUGUGGAGACAGUUGAAACAAUCUCCACUGAUGAAGCAGUAAUGCUUGGCCAGGAUAAUGGACCUGCUGACAUCUGCAUAAAGGAGGAGUCUGAUCUUCACUCUGAGGUCAAACUGGUUUAUUUCUGCAAAGACCAAGAAACUGUCAGAACAUCUGAAGAGCAUUUGAUCAAAGAUGGAUCAUGGCAUGGAUCAACACCCAGUAAUAUUCUGACUGGAAAUGUAUUCAGCCUUCCACAGUCGCCACUACCAGCUGCAGAAAGUGGUCCUUUCGGAAGUAAAAUCAAGUCAACAUCACAGAUAUAACCAGAAGGUCCCUGCAGCAUCACUUGAGCCAAAAUACCAUAGGCUCACAGAAGUAACAGGGGGAAAAAAGGGAUUUAAUGAGGAUAAAUAAAUGUUUAUAGCCAAGAAGGAAAAGAAAGUUGUCAGACAAGUAGAACCUCAUUGAGAUGAGAUGGAGAGCAUCUGCCAAGGAAAAGAAAAGCACUUCCUGACUGAGCUCUCAGGGAAAAGAAAAGCACUUCCUGACUGAGCUCUCAGGGAAAAGAAAAGCACUUCCUGACUGAGAUCUCAGGGAAAAGAAAAGCACUUCCUGACUGAGCUCUCAGGGAAAAGAAAAGCACUUCCUGACAGAUCUCAGGGAAAAGAAAAGCACUUCCUGACUGAGAUCUCAGGGAAAAGAAAAGCACUUCCUGACUGAGCUCUCAGGGAAAAGAAAAGCACUUCCUGACUGAGAUCUCAGGGAAAAGAAAAGCACUUCCUGACUGAGCUCUCAGGGAAAAGAAAAGCACUUCCUGACUGAGCUCUCAGGGAAAAGAAAAGCACUUCCUGACUGAGCUCUCAGGGAAAAGAAAAGCACUUCCUGACUGAGAUCUCAGGGGAAAAAAAGAUGCAAGAUGGAAAGAAAAGUCUGAUCUGCUCCCUAGGGAAAAGCCAGUUUCUUAUUUGCCUGGGGGAAAAAAAGAUUGAUAUUGUUAUAUGUGAUGAAGUGCAACACGAGGUGGAUUCUUACUGAACUUUCAAAAUGCUUUGUAGUUGAGACUGGUUCUGAGAAGAAAUGCUAACAAAUCCUUGCUGAAUACAGAUCAGACAUCCUAGGAUUUGGGGGCUAUUAUAUUGGUCUUUUGGAUCAUACUUGGAAUGUGAAAAGGUUCCUAAUGUUAGUUUUAGGUCUCCCUGAAGUCCGUAGACUUCCAUUCUAUUACUCACCCUAGAACAGUCAACAAGCCUAACACGGAUGUGUAUUCAUUAGGCAUACUGUAGCUAAAUGUUUAAUGGGGAGUCAACAAGCCUAACACAGAUGUGUAUUCAUUAGGCAUACUGUAGCUAAAUGUUUAAUGGGGAGUCAACAAGCCUAACACAGAUGUGUAUUCAUUAGGCAUACUGUAGCUAAAUGUUUCAUGGGGAGUCAACAAGCCUAACACAGAUGUGUAUUCAUUAGGCAUACUGUAGCUAAAUGUUUAAUGGGUAGUCAACAAGCCUAACACAGAUGUGUAUUCAUUAGGCAUACUGUAGCUAAAUGUUUAAUGGGGAGUCAACAAGCCUAACACAGAUGUGUAUUCAUUAGGCAUACUGUAGCUAAAUGUUUCAUGGGGAGUCAACAAACCUAACACAGAUGUGUAUUCAUUAGGCAUACUGUAGCUAAAUGUUUCAUGGGGAGUCAACAAGCCUAACACAGAUGUGUAUUCAUUAGGCAUACUGUAGCUAAAUGUUUCAUGGGGAGGCUACACUAACGCUUCUUGGACCAAUUCAGAAAUUGGUACACAAGGAGUAGCCUAGUCUUUUUAGGAUUAAGUGAAAAUAGGGAGACAAUAUAUUUUAAACGUAUUCGUAUUAAGGGUUUUAGUCUUUUGAAUAGUGGAUUUUUGCAGAUUGCCUUGGCCUUCCUUCCUGUUUAACUGUUGAUGUCUGGUCUCGCUGUAGAGAAUGAAUACAGCAGGAUUAUUGCGAGACUUAUUUUUUUUCUCUUAACUAUUUUACACCGUAUUCAUUGAUGAGACAAACUCGACUACUUUUACAAGCCUCUAUAUAGAAGAAAACUUCUGAUCUUUUUUUGUUUAGAAAUAAAAAGACAAACAGAUAUAUUUUAUUUUGUAAGAGUAUGCAUUAGUGAAAUAACCUACUAUGAUGGGUCAUGUUUUUAUCUUUUUUUUUUAUCAGUGGGCUAUUUUGAUUUUUUUUUUUUUGCCCUUUUUUUGUGGAAAGGUUAAGAGACUGCAUCAAGACCUGCCUUACUGUUACCCACAUGUUCCUGUUUUGAACAUGGAGCUAUUCUACCGUAAACUAAGAUUUUUUUAAUUUUUUUUAAGGAUACUUCCACUGACAUUCUUAGAGGUGUCAUUUUAUUGUGAGGAACUGCAUUUCGAUCAGAAUAGUUUUUCUGUUUUGUCCUCUGUUUUUGUGAGUGACUCAGUCACUCGUCUCAGUGCACAAGUCUCCCCUUUCUCCAGACAUGGCGUAUGAAUCAGAAUCCGUAGCUAGUUAUGACACGUGAGCUUCUGGAUGAAAAGGUAUGUUUAAAUUAUGUUAACAUUUUAAAGAAUUCAUAGAAUCUGACUGGUGCUAAUAGCAUUCAUGUCAACACUUAAAUGAAUGUGAAUUAGCUGUAAUUGCUUGGUCUGAUAACUUUAUACAUGCGUUUGUGUUUCCAGCAGAGUAUCCCUAAAGCAGCGUGGUCGUAUCAUCCCUUCUCCAUGUUGGACUAAACACUUUCAACUCUACACAAGUGAAAACCCCAAAUCCCUAAAGUGGUGGAGAAGGAGGCCACCUACAGAAUGUUAGGAGCAGUGGCUUGUUCCCAGGAGACCAACACUUGAGGACGCAACUUCUGUCAUGAUGACGAGGUGGCAUCUCCGCUGAUCCUCUAUUUGCCAUACUAGAGGGACAUGAAGUCUGACUCCAUCUUCAACAUGUGGACCUGCCCUGAUGAUGUUGGACACCACUGUUACACCUUCAGCCAUGUUGAUUUCCUGUCAGACUGGGUUUUUUAUUUUUUACUCCUUUCCAUGGACGGACUGACCUUUUACCAGAACAGGAAUACAAUGUUUAUCAGACCCUCCUCACCAGUGGACUAACUACUCAAACUGGUCGUGAAGUCACAGGAAAUAGACUGAUCUGUUAGGAGGGAUGCAGCAUUCUAAUCCUGGUUAGAUUAUAGUUAUAAGGAGAGUUCAGGUAGUAACCAGUACAUUGAGAUAAAUGUAGAUGUCCACACUCUGGACAAUAUAAAAGGCUUUGGAGAGGGACCACGUUUUCAGGAGAAGGAUAACAGGACCUUGUCCAGAAACAACCCCCAGCUCUGUAUGCAACUGUAUGCACAAUUCCCUGAUUCUAUUAAAUAAUGUAUUACAUUGCCUUUAUAAAAUUUCCUGUACACAUCACAUUUUAGAAAUUCAAUGGUCAUGAAAUUAUUAUUAUUUUUUCCGCAUUUACACUGUUUGGCCUUUUGUCGUGGAAUUGUUUGUGUGCAUCUUAAGAGUGGAAACCCUGUGUAUAGAUCUGAAAUGAUUCGCUCUUUAAACAUUUCAUCUAGCCUAUCAGUGGGUACGUUUUGUCACUUUUGCUUUGUUAUACCACAAUCUUUGAGUUUUACAUUAAUUCUAGUCUGGCAACAGGUUCUCUGGGUUUAAAUAAAAUGAGGUUUCCUAGGGUCUCAGAUGUAGAUAAAUCCUAAAAAUCAUGUUCAAUGGAGACUCACCGUUGAAAGUGUUUUUACAGGCCUGCUACACUGGACAGUAUUGUAGCAGGGCAUUAGAGGCUCUUACUUAAACCCGGCCAUGGUGUAGGUCCCUCAGGGUUGGGCUGAAUUCGAAAUGAAGGCAGUCAAUUCAGGAGGUAAUCACAAAUUACUAUAUUAAUUGUGGG